rnacentral:rRNA from 1 species
CAGCGCCACAAGUGGUGACCAGCAUUAUUGGGCCUAAAGCGUCCGUAGCAGGAAAAAUAAAUCUUCUGUGAAACUGUUAAGCUUAACUUAACAACGUGCAGGAGACACUGUUAUUCUAGAGACCGGGAGGAGUCAGAGGUAUUUUUGGGGGAGCGGUAAAAUGCUAUAAUCCCAAGAGGACCACCGAUGGCGAAGGCAUCUGACUAGAACGGAUCUGACUGUGAGGGACGAAGGCCAGGGGAGCAAACCGGAUUAGAUACCCGAGUAGUCC